CCCUGUCUUUAGCUCAGGGAAUUUUAAUCCAGUUUAUUAUAUUAUUUAUAAUUAGACCAACAUCUGUAAAUGUCAAAAUCCUUUGAGAGAAGUAGGAUUACCUGAGAAGGCAAAUAAGGGUUCAAACAGCAUUGUCCAUAUUGCAAAUCCAUGGGAUAAACCUGUCCAUGCAAUAGGUCCCUCCUCAUUUCCUGCAAGGAAAACACGCUUGCUAGCAGAGCUCCAGAGCCUACAAACCAAUAAGUGCCUCCUCCAGCAUUUGCAGCAGCAUGAUCUACUGUUGAACUGUUAGAGACUGGACUCUGCCAUCUGGAGAACUUGCGUCCUUUCCAUCUUCGUAGAUCUCCUUCAAGGUACUCCAGAUUUAGCCCUUUGUCACAUCUACAGUAGACAUAAAGACAUUCAUUCUCAGGAAGAAGUGCAGGGCUAAGGAAGUUUGAACACUUGGACUGCAAACAUAAAACCGUUCUGUUUUCUUCCUUGUGUCAUUGUCUGCAGCUCCACCCAUCAUCUCAGAAGUACCUUUUCCUUGGUGCUGGUGCAUACUAUGAUUUCUUCAUCAUCAUACUGUUAGUUGGGGACUGCACAAGGUUUUUUGUGGAAGCUUCUGGAAGAAGCAGACAGACGGACAGAAGGAACUGUUUAAGCAGCAAUAGAUGUUGUCAUACUGCCCCUGACUCUUAUAUCUUGACAGUAAUCCUCAUUUGAAGUUUUGGUAAGUGAUUAUCUUGUGUGCUGUUCAGUUGUCUAGUUUUACUUUAUCUUGUUCAAAAAAUUCAAGCUCUGUUUAUCAUAAAGCAACACUUAACCUGUGUUCUCCUUUGGGAAUAUUUGAUUUGCAAGGCCCAUGACACUUAUUUUGGAAUGUACGGAGGCAAUGUUGUUCAUGAAACAAGACACUUCCGCAAGGAAAAUAAGCAAUGUACAGAAGGCCAUAUUUGUUGGUCUAACUCUAGUCAUUGCUUUAGAAAGAUAGAACUAUUCACAACCAGUCAAGUAUGAGGAAGUGUCACUGCUUGAUGAGUUGGCAGGACUUGCAUGUUCUUUUACCAUCUUUGGCUGCCUAUAGAUAAGUUGGCUGUGAUGCAGGAUGGCUACUGUAGUCUCUGACUUUGGGUGGAGUAGCCCAAUAAUACGAGAGACGGUAUUUCCUACUGGUUAGGGAACUUGGGAAGGUGGGGGGAAGGAAUGUCAGGAAAUAAAUAAAUAAAUAAAUAAAUAAAUAAAUGACA
rnacentral:lncRNA from 1 species